rnacentral:rRNA from 1 species
GACGAACGCUGGCGGCGUGCCUAAUACAUGCAAGUCGAGCGCUGAAACGUGGAACUUGUACCCACUGGGUGAGCGGCGGACGGGUGAGUAACGCGUGGAUAAUCUGCCUUUGAGCGGGGGACAACAUCGGGAAACGAAUGCUAAUACCGCAUAAUAACUUUAACCACAGGUUUCAAGUGUGAAAGAUGCAUUUGCUGCACCCAAAAAUGGGCCCCCGUUGAAUUAGUUAGUUGGUAAGGUAAAGGCCCACCAAGGGAAUCAUACGUAGCCGCCCGGGAAGGUGAAUCGCCACAAUGGGACCGGGACACCGGUCAAACCUCCUACGGGAGGAACCAGUGGGGAACCUCGGCCAAUGGGCGAAAGCCUGACGAAGAAAGCCCGCGUGGGGGAGGAAGGUCUCCGGUUGGAAAAACCCUUUUGUAGGGAAGAAAGAUGGGGAGAAUGAAAAGCGCAUGAAGUGACGGUACCUAACCAGAAAGCCACGGCUAACUACGUG